AUAUUUAAAUUUUAAUUUAUAAAAGAAAAUUCAUUGGAUAACUUACACGUAUAUCUGCAACGAAUGAUGCAAUAAUCAAAAUAAAAAGUCCCUCGUAGAAUUGCUCAUACAAAUAUAUAUGAAAUCAAUUCUGACAAAUAAAAACCCUUAACAAAAGUAAUAUGUAGUCGGUUAUAUGAGACACGAGCAAAUGAUAGCAGUGAAAAUUGCCCAGCAACGUGGCAAAAUUUGGAUCGUCAGAUCAAAACACAUCAAUAGGCUAACCGUUUCAAGGAAACGGCUAUAAUAUUACCCGCCACAAAAAAAAGAACAAUCUUUACUUGACGACGGAUUGUGAUGGUAUUUAUGUCUCUGUUACUACGGUUUCUGGAUUCGUGUCUGGUUUGUCAGUCUAGGGUUUAUAAAUUAUAAUAAAUGCUUCCAUUACGGAUCUUGUUGCUCUCAAAAUCUCAGCGACAACUCGUGGAACCAGAGCUUAUGGCAAAACUACAAACUGAGCUUGCUGUAGCUACGGAAUGCGUAGCCAUGCUCCUCUAGCCUCUAACUCAAGGGAUAUUAAAUCAACGGUACAUAACUAUUGUUUUAACUCAAAACAAACAGGUAUACAUACAUAUAUGUUGGCACACGGAGAACAUAUUAAAUGCAUACAGGGGAACUCAUUUCUCUCCGAUGUUGAAUUAAGACAAAUCAUUUUGAUUGAUUGAAAACUGAGCUGAAGUCUUGUCGUUGAAGUGGUUUACACUGUAUAGUUUCGCAGAUAAGUUGCUUUAGGAGAGCUUGUUGGUCACUCUUACGGCUUUAGUCGUUGAUUCUUGAUCUUCCUUGUGACUUCCUAAUCCGUGUUGAUGCAAUUCUUCAAGAGAAUAAUAUUUUACUGAA